CCUACGGGAGGCAGCAGUGGGGAAUAUUGGACAAUGGGGGCAACCCUGAUCCAGCCAUGCCGCGUGUGUGAAGAAGGCCCUCGGGUUGUAAAGCACUUUCAGUGAGGAAGAACGCCUGGUGGUUAAUACCCAUCAGGAAAGACAUCACUCACAGAAGAAGCACCGGCUAACUCCGUGCCAGCAGCCGCGGUAAUACGGAGGGGGCGAGCGUUAAUCGGAAUUACUGGGCGUAAAGCGCGCGUAGGUGGCUGGAUAAGCCGGUUGUGAAAGCCCCGGGCUCAACCUGGGAACGGCAUCCGGAACUGUCAAGCUAGAGUGCAGGAGAGGAAGGUAGAAUUCCCGGUGUAGCGGUGAAAUGCGUAGAGAUCGGGAGGAAUACCAGUGGCGAAGGCGGCCUUCUGGACUGACACUGACACUGAGGUGCGAAAGCGUGGGUAGCAAACAGGAUUAGAUACCCCUGUAGUC
rnacentral:rRNA from 1 species